rnacentral:rRNA from 1 species
ACCGAAAACGCUGUAGUAUUAAUAAGAGUUUAUGACUGAAAGGUCAGAAAAUAAGGUUAAGUUAAUAAGGGCGCACGGUGGAUGCCUUGGCACUAGGAGCCGACGAAGG